CAGACGGGUGAGUAACGCGUGGGAACGUACCUUUUGGUUCGGAACAACACAGGGAAACUUGUGCUAAUACCGGAUAAGCCCUUACGGGGAAAGAUUUAUCGCCGAAAGAUCGGCCCGCGUCUGAUUAGCUAGUUGGUGAGGUAAUGGCUCACCAAGGCGACGAUCAGUAGCUGGCCUGAGAGGAUGAUCAGCCACAUUGGGACUGAGACACGGCCCAAACUCCUACGGGAGGCAGCAGUGGGGAAUAUUGGACAAUGGGCGCAAGCCUGAUCCAGCCAUGCCGCGUGAGUGAUGAAGGCCCUAGGGUUGUAAAGCUCUUUUGUGCGGGAAGAUAAUGACGGUACCGCAAGAAUAAGCCCCGGCUAACUUCGUGCCAGCAGCCGCGGUAAUACGAAGGGGGCUAGCGUUGCUCGGAAUCACUGGGCGUAAAGGGUGCGUAGGCGGGUUUCUAAGUCAGAGGUGAAAGCCUGGAGCUCAACUCCAGAACUGCCUUUGAUACUGGAAGUCUUGAGUUCGGGAGAGGUGAGUGGAACUGCGAGUGUAGAGGUGAAAUUCGUAGAUAUUCGCAAGAACACCAGUGGCGAAGGCGGCUCACUGGCCCGAUACUGACGCUGAGGCACGAAAGCGUGGAGAGCAAACAGGAUUAGAUACCCUGGUAGUCCACGCCGUAAACGAUGAAUGCCAGCCGUUAGUGGGUUUACUCACUAGUGGCGCAGCUAACGCUUUAAGCAUUCCGCCUGGGGAGUACGGUCGCAAGAUUAAAACUCGAAGGAAUUGACGGGGGCCCGCACAAGCGGUGGAGCAUGUGGUUUAAUUCGACGCAACGCGCAGAACCUUACCAGCCCUUGACAUGUCCAGGACCG
rnacentral:rRNA from 1 species